UCUCUCUCUAUGCGCAUGCGCUGGUUGAGUGGACGGAGUGUGUGGGCAAGAGCGUGUGGCUGCUGUAUAAGCUUGGCAGAACAUGUAACCGGCUCUGUUCAGUUGAAGAUGCCUUGCUCCACUGACAGUGGAUUUAUGCCCUCUUGAAUCUUCAUCAUCAUUCUUGUCAGUCAGAGCUGUACGAAGAAUCCAUCGCCGACUCCACUAUCUGGACAAACUGUCAGACCCAUCCACAAAAACAUGCUCCUCGGUCUGACUCCUGUCAAAAAAGUAAUCUGCUUCAAGGAGAUGUACUUCAUGUUUGCUGUAAUGGCAGAUUCUUGUUGUAAUGAGCACAGGCCCUCCAUCUGAGCAUAUUUUGAUAGUGUUAUUUAUAGAUAAAGAAAUGUUUGUUUUUUCCUGCAGUUGAGAGUCUGUCAAAACCCGCACACAACAGAGCUGAAUAUUGCUGUAUGUGUCACUGAAGUGAGGAUUUAUUAUUUUAAAAUUUUGAAAACAAAAUACCUAUUUUAAAAGGAAAAAAAAAAUAGCUGUAUUAUUUUUACUAUACGAGGUCACAGAAAUAACCACCUUUUGUCUCCAAAGGCUCUUUCUUGUUGCCCCAAAGCACUAGAUUCAUUUAUUUGCUCGGACCUUCAAUGGCCAUGACUCUGGUAAAGAAAUUAAAUGCCAAAACAUGUCUCUUAUUGACCAUUUUCUCUUGAGGGUCUAUAUUACGCAAUUCUUCAAUAUGAGCAAAACAGCAACUGUGGUUUAAAAUGAGGGGUAAAAUAUUUU